rnacentral:rRNA from 1 species
UACGGGGGGAGCAAGCGUUGUUCGGAUUUACUGGGCGUAAAGGGCGCGUAGGCGGCCACCGCAAGUCGACUGUGAAAUCUCCGGGCUUAACCCGGAAAGGUCAGCCGAUACUGCGGGGCUAGAGUGCAGAAGGGGCAACUGGAAUUCUCGGUGUAGCGGUGAAAUGCGUAGAUAUCGAGAGGAACACCUGCGGCGAAGGCGGGUUGCUGGGCUGACACUGACGCUGAGGCGCGAAAGCUAGGGGGAGCGAACGGG